rnacentral:rRNA from 1 species
CCUACGAGUGGCAGCAGUGGGGAAUAUUGCGCAAUGGGCGAAAGCCUGACGCGGCGACGCCGCGUGAGGGAUGAAGGUCUUCGGAUCGUAAACCUCUGUCAGCAGGGAAGAACGGUCACUGUGCUAAUCAGCAGUGAAUUGACGGUACCUGCAAAGGAAGCAACGGCGAACUCCGUGCGAGCAGCCGCGGUAAUACGGAGGGUGCGAGCGUUAAUCGGACUUACUGGGCGUAAAGCGCUCGUAGGCGGUAUGGCAAGGCAAGGGUGAAAUCCCCUCGCUCAACGUGGGAACUGCCUUUGAAACUGGCAACCUGGAGUGUGUGAGAGGAUAGUGGAAUUGCUGGUGUAGGAGUGAAAUCCGUAGAUAUCUGGAGGAACAUCAGUGGCGAAGGCGACUAUCUGGCACAUAACUGACGCUGAGGAGCGAAAGCGUGGGUAGCAAACAGGAUUAGAUACCCUUGUAGUC